rnacentral:lncRNA from 12 species
GAUUAUUCAGACUAUUUUGGGAUAGGUCAAACUCUCUUGGCAAAAGUGCUUUCAGAGGUGAACUCGUAGUGGAAAAGUUCUGAUAAAACUGCUUGAAAUCAGCUGGUUAAACUGAGCUGAAUCGGUGAUACAACUUUUAGUGGGAACAAACUCCAUAAGAAACACUCACAGAUAAUAGCACAGAAGUAGAAGAGUUUGGCAGGUUACCCUGGAAACAACCAAUUUUCCUGGCCAGAUGCAUUAUUCAUGAAAUGAAUACUCAUCAGAUCUUCCACUUUUGAAAAUUAUCAGUAAUAAACAAAACUAUUUUACAUCUUUUGUCA